AGCAAAGCGCUCAAAGGAUGAUGUUUCUUCUCAAGCUCCAACUAGAGUGUAUGGAACCUCAAGUUUGACGCGUCAACCUUCACUUGAAGAACAUUCUAUGCCUCAUAUGGAGCCACCACUACACCAUUCUCAAGCACCCGCUCCAUCAUUUGGUAGUAUGUCAAUUGUUCUUGUUUUAACUCAAGUUGUGUCUAUUCAAAAAUUCUGAUUUUAAUAUAUUUUUCACACUUGAACAGUCGUGUAUCCUAAAGCUAAGCGCUCAAAGAAUGAUGUUUCUUCUCAAGCCCCAACU
rnacentral:lncRNA from 1 species